GAUAAAUGCAGUCUCGUCCGUACCGCGCGCAUGCGCUGUCGCGAACACAUCUGACAUUACGUGAUCCUAACCUCAAUUUCGUGCUGCGUGAAAAAACGCGUAACGUACUUUUGUUAUAUGAAGAAUCGUGUGCAACAAGGAGGCAAUGAUCUUUUCUACUCCUGUAUUGGCAAUAUUCAUGAGGCUGAAGUUAGCAACGUUAACUUAACGAAACAUCAGGGAAAAAAUCACAAUUACACAAUUUUAGAAUGACCUUCAAGGAUUUGGUUUUGCAAAAUACUCAGUACCGUACCUAUGCGUCCUUCUGCUACUAUCGCUGCUCCUAUCAAUUUGGCCGUCUGAAUCAUCAUACAAGGCGGAAACUUGCAGCUCGAUUGCCGUCACGUCUUCGACUACUCUCUUCAUCACAGCCCUGACAGUUCUGGGUUCAAUGGCAUGACCAGAGAGGCCUGUAACUCUGCAAGACCUGUAUCACCAUCUUGACUAACUUUAGCAGCCAGCGUUUGCCUUACUUUAGCCAAAGCCUCAGUCAGAUGCUGCUUCAAAGAGUGUAAAUGGCUUCUGCACUGCUUUCUUCCAGCAUUUAUGACAAUUUCUGUU